rnacentral:rRNA from 1 species
GACGAAGGUGGCGAGCGUUAUUCGGAAUCACUGGGCAUAAAGGGCGCGCAGGCGGCCUGGUAAGUUUCGUGUGAAAGCCCUCGGCUCAACCGAGGAACCGCACGGGAAACUGCCGGGCUGGAGUGCUGGAGGGGUGUGCGGAAUUCCUGGUGGAGCGGUGAAAUGCGUAGAUAUCAGGAGGAACGCCGGCGGCGAAAGCGACACAUUGGACAGCAACUGACGCUGAGGCGCGAAAGCUAGGGGAGCGAACGGG